AGCAGCAUGGUGUAUGGAUGCACGCGGGGCCUUACUGGGCAAAAUUGCGCUCGUCGGUACAACCCCGAGGUCCCUGUUCGAACCAGGGUGCUGCUC